AGCGAACGCUGGCGGCAGGCUUAACACAUGCAAGUCGAGCGGGCAUCCUUGUGGUGUCAGCGGCAGACGGGUGAGUAACGCGUGGGAACGUGCCCUUCGGUUCGGAAUAACUCAGGGAAACUUGAGCUAAUACCGGAUACGUGCGAGAGCAGAAAGGUUUAUCUGCCGAAGGAUCGGCCCGCGUCUGAUUAGCUAGUUGGUGAGGUUAUGGCUCACCAAGGCGACGAUCAGUAGCUGGUCUGAGAGGAUGAUCAGCCACACUGGGACUGAGACACGGCCCAGACUCCUACGGGAGGCAGCAGUGGGGAAUAUUGGACAAUGGGGGCAACCCUGAUCCAGCCAUGCCGCGUGAGUGAUGACGGCCUUAGGGUUGUAAAGCUCUUUUCUCCGUGACGAUAAUGACGGUACCGGAGGAAUAAGCCCCGGCUAACUUCGUG
rnacentral:rRNA from 1 species